AACGUAGGGGGCCAGCGUUGCUCGGAAUUACUGGGCGUAAAGGGUCCGUAGGCGGUGUAGCAAGUCGGAAGUGAAAUCUCUGGGCUUAACCCAGAGGCUGCUCCCGAAACUGCUGUGCUAGAGUGCGAGAGAGGCGAGUGGAAUUGCGGGUGUAGCGGUGAAAUGCGUAGAUAUCCGCAGGAACAUCCGAGGCGAAAGCGGCUCGCUGGAUCGCAACUGACGCUGAGGGACGAAAGCUAGGGGAGCAAACAGGAUUAGAUACCCUGGUAGUCCUAGCCCUAAACUAUCAUGACUUGGGGUUUGCCCUGUACGGGGCAAGUCCCGUAGCUAACGCGUUAAGUCAUGCGCCUGGGGAGUACGGUCGCAAGGCUGAA
rnacentral:rRNA from 1 species